GACGAACGUUGGCGGAGUGAUUAAUACAUGCAAGUCAACUGAAGCAGUGGUAGCACUCUCUCUGUUGCUGUGGCGCACGGGUGAGGAACACGUAGGUAAUCUGCCUUCAGGUUCGGCAGAACUCAGGGCAACCGGCGCUAAUAGCAGCUGAUGCAGCGGCCCGACAUCGAGACAGUUGUUAAAGCGAUGGCGCCUGAAGAUGAGCCUGCGUCUGGUUAGCUAGUUGGGGGGGUAACGGCCGACCUAGGCGACGAUCACUAGCUGGUCUGAGAGGAUGAUCAGCCACACUGGAACUGAGACAAGGUACAGACUCCUACGGGAGGCAGCAGUGGGGAAUAUUGCACAAUGGGCGCAAGGCUGAUGCAGCCAUGCCGCGUGUAUGAAGAAGGACUUCGGGUUGUAAAGUACUUUCAGCGGGGAGGAAGGGAGUAAAGUUAAUACCUGUGCUCAUUGACGUUACCCGCAGAAGAAGCACCGGCUAGCUCCGUG
rnacentral:rRNA from 1 species